rnacentral:misc_RNA from 1 species
UCCUUCCAAGCACCACAUAACCAUCUAGCUGACUUAGAAGCAGCAGAAUGCCUAACCUGCACUCUUUGUCCUGGAUAAUGGGGGUAUAUUGAAUCUUCAAGUAUGUUUGGAGAAAUAGGCAAGAGCUGUUCUGUUUCAUCUGCAGUAACCUCACACUUUGUCCCAUCAUCGAAGAUGAUGACGACAUUGUCAACAAUUUUAUCAACCCUUCCAAUCCAUGGCCCAUGGACCACAUAAUCUCCCACUGAAAUGGAGAGAAUCUUUAGAAGAUUCUUGGAAU